AAGCACCGCACGGUGGCUCUCCACUCAAGAUCGGCCCUGAGAGACAAUGUUGCUCAGGAUUAAUCUUUUCAUGUUAACUGUGCAGAGCACAUUUGGAAAGACCCAUUCCUGGCAUACUGCAGAAGAAGCUGGCAUCCUUCAUGGGGCUGCACAAGCAUUUGGCUUAGCACAUGGAGAAGCUGAAGGAGGAGACCCGACCAGCAAGGUGAGCCAGCAGAUGAGUGCAAUGUACUAGAGUCACCACUGUGCCUGGAGCCCUUGCAUUGUCCUUCAGAGCAUGAAAACCAUGGCUGCUGCUUUGCCGCUGCCCUCUCAAUCACAUACAGCACUUCUCUUGUGGCUAAUGCUAACCUUGAAACCAUGCAGAAUUCUGGAGAACAGAUCCUGCUCAGCUGAGUUGACCCAGUAUAAAGCUACCACACUGCCCCGUGGGUCCAGGCAUGAAGUCUGCAUUGAAAGAGGAGGGUGAGAAAGAGGCAGCUCCUGUGAGCUCUCUCUCUCUCUCUCUCUCUCGUGCCUGUUUCUUUCAUCAGGAAAGCUAGUUUUCUAGAAGCACCUCAGUAGACUUCCCUUUGUGUCUCUUUAGCCAGAAUGUGGUAAAUUGGCCACUCCUUAGCUCCAUAGGAGCUGAGACGAGGGUAUUGGGCAUUUCCAUCUUCUUCCAGAGUAGAGACAGGCAGGGGAGAACGGGCUGGGAGUGGCAUUGGGUUAGUCAGCCACUUGUCCACUGUUGUGCACAGUGCAUUCCCUACUAUCCCCUCUGUGGAGCCUGAAAGGAAGGGCAAGAACACCCAUUCCAAGUUGCACCCACUGCAUUUGAAGAAACUGAGGCACAGAAAAGUUGACGCUCUUACCCAAGGACAUACAAAGUUAGUGCAAGGCUAGGAGUAUGGAAGCCAGACCACCUCAAUUACAUUACAGACCCCUGCAUAUUGCGCACAUUGUCCAUUUAAAGCCAGAAAGGAGUACAUGGCAAGAUACCCAUCCUCAAUACUGCAUUAGAGCUCCCUGGCAAAUCACCCAACACAAUUUAGAUGUUACUUUUUGCCUGACAUAUUGGUGAAAUUUGAAAAGAUUACACAUAUCCAGUAUGACCAGAGAGAGAGAGAGAGAGAGAGAGAGAGAGAGAGAGAGAGAAAUGGGCUUACUAUUGGUGGAAGUGUGAGUGUGGCUACAGCCUUCUUGGUGAGAAUGGUCUGUUAAUUAUCACAAAUUUUGAAUAUGCUUCAGCCCAGAAAUAAUAUUAAAGAAAUGUACUGCCUCAGGAGACAUAAUCUGACAAAUACACAAAGUUAUCAUAUACGCACAGCAGAAAGAAUGUUCAUUAUUGCAAGAAUCUAGAGGACCUUCAUAGAGGACUUGUUUAAUAAAUUUUGAUAUACCUAUGCAAUGGAUUAUAUAGUUGCUGAAAAGGAUGAUAUGUAUCUGUAGUUCUUGAUAAUGAUCUUUACCACAUAUUGAGUUAAAAGCAUGUAUAUUAUUUCAUUCAUAUAAAAUGAUAUGUAUAAGCAUUUGCAUAGAGCAGCAUCUAGAAGGAUGUUCAGCAAAAUGUUAGUAGUAAUUUCUCCGGGUAGUACUUUUUUCUUUAUGCCUGUUUGUUUUGACUGAUUUUUCUAUAAAUAUGUAUUACCUUUAUAUUAGGAAAUGCAAGGAAGCUGCAUUAGAAAAAAUUUUUUAGAAAAAAAUCACUGGAGGAGACUGUCCUUUCUACUUGGCAGAAAGCAGGGAGUUAGAUGCUAAUGUUUUAAAUUAUCUUCCAGUUCUACUAUUAAGGUCUUGCCAAUUGUUUGAGGCUGAUCACGAAGAGUGGAGAUGUAUCCUUAUAUUUUUCACGAGGAUUUUUGCAACUGUCCUUAUUUGAAGAUUGGAAAUAAUCACGCAUUUCACACCAUUUCUAAUAAGACGGUGCCCUGCCCUAUUUCAAAUUUUUUUUUUUUCUUCAACGUUUAUUUUUAUUUUUGGGACAGAGAGAGACAGAGCAUGAACGGGGGAGGGGCAGAGAGAGAGGGAGACACAGAAUCGGAAACAGGCUCCAGGCUCUGAGCCAUCAGCCCAGAGCCUGACGCGGGGCUCGAACUCACGGACCGCGAGAUCGUGACCUGGCUGAAGUCGGACGCUUAACCGACUGCGCCACCCAGGCGCCCCAGCCCUAUUUCAAGUGACUGCUUUGACAUUAGAUUUUUGUCAUCCUUUAACACAAUUCUGUCAUCACCAGGAAGUCCCUGUCUUACAAAGGUGGAAACAAAAUGUCAACCAAAGGGUCCAAAAAAAACAAAAAAAAACAAAAAACCUCAAAACGCAGUUAAUAAAAACCAACUUUGAGAUAGGUUCAAAAAAAAUUAAACGUAACUAACUAUAAGUGGGCAGGUAGAAUCUUAGUGGAGAAAUAGAAACUAUAAAAAAAAAAAAACAGAGUGGAAAUUCUAGAA